UACAACGCACUACCUGUUCAUAGUAGUCGUUGCUGUCAACAGCACGCUGCUAACCAUCAACGCAGGUGACUACAUCUUCUACACAGACUGGAUGUGGACAUCCUUCGUGGUAUUCUCGGUCUCGCAGUCGACUAUGCUCGCUGUGGGUGCGGUAUACUACAUGUUGUUCACAGGCGUACCUGGCACAGCCACCUACUAUGCAACAAUCAUGACCAUCUACACAUGGGUUGCAAAAGGUGCGUGGUUUGCACUUGGUUACCCCUACGACUUCGUCGGGCAACAAGACGCAACAAGCACGCAGCCAUAAUCAUUGGCGGUACGCUGGUUGGCCUAUCCUUCCCGCUGUUCAACAUGGUCAACCUGUUGCUGGUCAGGGACCCGCUUGAAGUCGCAUUCAAGUAUCCUAGACCGACACUGCCUGCGUAUAUGACGCCAAUCGAACCUCAGGUAGGCAAGUUCUACAACUCGCCUGUCGCGCUAGGUUCUGGCGCUGGUGCAGUGCUAACGGUGCCCAUGACGGCGUUGGGUGCAAAACUAAACACGUGG
rnacentral:rRNA from 1 species